rnacentral:rRNA from 1 species
AGGACGAACGCUGGCGGCGUGCUUAACACAUGCAAGUCGAACGGUGAACUCCGCUUGCGGGGGGAUCAGUGGCGAACGGGUGAGUAACACGUGGGCAACCUGCCCUC